rnacentral:misc_RNA from 1 species
GCAGAAUAUCCAUAUUUAAUAGUAGAUCAUUACAUUAGCACAUUAAUUUCAACUUCUCCUCUGGGUCUCCAAAUUCCAAACCAACGAGUGUGGCUCCUCAGCGCUUCCCUGGUCCUCCUGGUGGUGAAUCACUUGCACGCGGACUCGUGGGUCUUUGAAGUGAAUGACGACGAUCUAAAAUAGCCAACAUGAGGAAGAUGAUGAGGAGAGCAAUGAAAACGCUCUUACUCUUUGCCAUGUUAAUUGA